UUAUUUAAUUCAGUUUCAUGACCAUGUGUCAUAGUGUGUUCUUAUUUAAUUCAGUUUCAUGACCAUGUGUCAUAGUGUGUUCUUAUUUAAUUCAGUUUCAUGACCAUGUGUCAUAGCGUGUUCUUAUUUGAUUUCAUUGAAUGAACGUCUACCUUUUCUGACUGUCUGGUUCUCACCGUUUACCUAAUGGGUGGAUUUAGGGCAGGCAGUAAAAUGUGGGCCUUCGUUCGUACCAAAGAGCCGUUGAAAAGAAUCACUAAAGCAGAGGGAAUUUCAGAGAGGCAUUUGAUGUGACAUUGCGCUAACAUGAUCUACUGGCUUCACACUUUUAGUCGUCUUUUAUGAAUGCAAGAAUUAAGCUGAUUUGGCUCCAUUUUACAUUUACAUUUAGUCAUUUAGCAGACGCUUUUAUCCAAAGCGACUUACAAAGAUGUAUACACAUUUUACAUUUACACUGAUGGCACACUGCACAUCAGGAGCAAUUAGGGGUUCAGUGUCUUGCUCAAGGACUCUUCGACAGGGAAUCGAACUAGCAACCUUCUGAUUACUAAACGACUUCUCUACCUCCUGUACCACUGUCGCCCAUUUGUGCGGAGCAGAUAGAAUGACCACUAGUGAUGGGCAUAGUGAGGCUUUGUGAAACACUGAAACAUUCGAAGCAAUUGUGCUGGAAAUUGUACCAAGGUCACCUUUUGAUAGUGCUAUUCUGUGAGACAAUUGUUUCUGUGUUUGGUCUACAGCGGAUUCAAGUGUGUGAGUGAACACAGCGAAUAAGGCUCAGAGAACAUGAAGAGCAGUAGGGGAACAUAGAGGAACGUCGUCUCACAUUGGUCAUCUCUAAAGGGCCCAGGGCACAAGUUAAGUUAAGUCAAGUUAGAUCUCUUUAGAUCUUGUUUUACGUUAACAUGUCUGCUGUAGCCUACAGUGCGAUUGGAAUUGGGUGUAAGACACACUCCCUCACCAACGAUUUACUAAAUUGCUGCCUCCAAACCAACCAAAUUGUGCCAAGAGAAUGGCUACUUUACUUGCCAUCCACUUGCAGGCAUAGCAGUAAACAGUACUGGCAAAGGCAUGUAUUUAUCAGCGGAUUCUGUGAUUGGAGAAGAUUUGUGCAUAGGUCUGAACACAGAGGCAAAGUUGACGCUUCUCUUGCCCAACAGUGUGAGGCAGAACAACAGUAUCAGAAAGACUUUGACCUGUGAUUGCGGUCAUAACGUUUUUGGGAGUGAGAGGACUACCAGCGAACUGCUGGGGUUGGCACACAACAAACCUAUUUGGGUCGGAUUGAACUGAUAGCAGAGUUUGACCCCUUUCUAAAGGAGCGCAUUGAGAAGAAUGGAAGAGGGAAGCCUCCUAUUUGUCUUCAAAUGUAUAUGAACAAUUCAUUUCAUUAACUAAACUGAGCCAAGCGAUAGCAGAACAAAUCAGAAAAGGCUAAAUAUUUCUCUGUAAAAAUGUAUGCCAGCUUUAGCAGUACACGUAGAGCAGCUCACGUUUGUUUUUCACUUGCAGAUGCCAGUGCAGAUGUCAGAGUGGUGGAGA
ensembl:lncRNA